AUUCAGGCUCUGCCUUCUAAGAAGAUGGAAAUGGCAAAACGAAUGGGACAUUGGAUAUUGCCCCAUAUAGAAGAUAGACGCGUGCAUAGAGGAAGCCUGAGAGAGGCUCCAGCCCAUGGGCAGGCAGAGAAAGAGUGAGGGUGGAAGGACAAACAGCAAAGGCUCCAAGGUCCUGAAAAGUCAUUCUCAAAGGAAAUGUGUUGCUUCACUCCCAGUAAUUCUCAAGCAGCUCCCGGAAUAGAUUCUACUACUUACUCUUGGUACCAGGAAAGGGUCAUCUGAAUAAAG
rnacentral:lncRNA from 1 species